CUCUUUUUGAUUAUAAUUUAAAGUAGGGCCUGCCCACUGAAUUUUGAAGGGCCGCAGUAUUUUGACUGUGCAAAGGUAGCAUAAUCAUUAGUUUUUUAAUUGAAAGCUAGAAUGAAUGGUUUGAUGAAAAAAUGGCUGUUUUAGUUUUAAUUUAUUGAAUUUUAUUUUUAAGUAAAAAAGCUUAAAUUUAAUUUAAAGACGAGAAGACCCUAUAGAGUUUUACUGAAUUGAAAAUUAAAUUCUAAGAAUUUUAAAAUUUAGUUUUAAAUUAAGUUGUGUUGGGGUGACAAAAAAAUUAAAUUAACUUUUUUUAUAUAAAUACAAUAAUAAUUGAAUUUUUGAUCCAUAUAAAUGAUUAAAAGAAUAAAUUACCUUAGGGAUAACAGCGU
rnacentral:rRNA from 1 species